CGGCCUCCCAAAGUGCUGAGAUUACAGGCGUGAGCUACCGCGCCCCGCCAAGUGCACGCUUGGGCUCGUUACUGCUCAGAAUUUUAGAAUCACAGAUCCAGCAGUGAUCAGGCAGCUGCAGCUGUCAGGGACCACCACCACCUACGCGAUUGAUCCGUGGGAGAAGCCGUCCUACUCUUUUCUUUCUCCUUUGUCCUUCUCAUUCCUGACCCCUUCAGGAUUCUCAGUCUUCCCUCCGGGAGACUUUUGGCCAGUCUUGUCUCGCUCCAACCUCCUACCCCCACCCCAUUCCUCAGUGCAUUCGUGAAUUUCUCCAAGCAGGCCUUUCCAGAUCGACACUAAGUUCCAAUCCCGAGCUGUGUGACCCAGCACCAAUUCAGUCACGAUGAUGACUUGCAAUUGCUUAAUCAGUUGGCCUUUCCUCCUAGCUGUGAAGUUUACCGUGCAGGAUUGCAAACACCAGAGAGAAAAUCAGUCUCUGGAAUGAUGCCUUUGAUGGACCAAGAUGCAGCUGAUGAAGCAUUGAACCAAUUAGCACCUAGCAGGAGGGCACCCUUGCUCUGUGUCCUUGAAGGUUAAAGCUGUCAAAAAGUGGUCUCCCUCAAGUUCGGCCAUCUUGCUCUCAGAGAUCUAGAACUGGACUCAGUCAAAAUUUUGGGCCAAGGAGACCGACGCGCUGUCGCCUGCACUAAGAGAAACGCAACGAACAACUUUGUCAAUGCAUUGCAUUAUACUAUAGCAGCAACUAUACUUUUAAAUGAUUCGAAUCUUGAGGUUUCAAACUGAACCGUCUUGUGCCUUUUGCCCGGCGGGCAUUUCUGCGGGGACCGCGGGUCACCUUCUGAAUUUUUACCUUCAUAAACAGCAAGGACUGCGCUCUUUCGCACGGCGCCCCGUUUUUUCGUAGAGUUCCGUCGGCCAAAACCACUUGAAACUCGCUCAGCGGCGUCGGGGCUCCAGCCAGGCGUCACCUUCCACAGCGAACCUGCGAACCACAGCGUCCCCUGGGGGUCUCCGUCCGCGUGGCCGCUUCCUCUUACAUCGGUGACGCAAGGGAAGGGCGUCUAGGAUCCGCCGGUUUCCUUCCUCACUGCUCCCAUCAGUGCGAAAGCAACGUGUUGGGGGUUCGGGGUGUGUGGCGGCUGAACAGCUGCCUGAAGUUCUCUGAUGGCGCUGGAGGGAGCUCCAGAGAAGAGGUCAUGGGGAGAAGGCACACCUUAAACGCCCCGGGGUGGGGGGGGGGGGCGACAUUCCCUAAUGGGAAAAAAGACACACCUUAAACGCAGUAGAGGGCGACAUUCUCUACUAGGGAAAAUGCGGAAGAACACAGUUGUAAUCAACGGUAGCGUGGCCGAGCGGUCUAAGGCGCUGGAUUAAGGCUCCAGUCUCUUCGGGGGCGUGGGUUCAAAUCCCACCGCUGCCAAGUACUUUUCAUUCUCACUAGGGACUGUUUUUAGGAGAAUCCCUUUCCAAAUGUUCAGUAUGAAUGGUUCUUACGUAUCAAUCCCAUUCUCCUCUUCGACUUCUGUUUACCACGGAGCCAGAGAUAACCGUCCCCAGAACAAUGUUCCCCCAUUAUUUAGAGGACAGUGUACUCCAGGCGCCUCAGAUACAGCAAUGAGUGACACAAGCAAAAAAACCCUUAAUGGCACAUACUUAGUGAGGUGGCACGAUCUCGGCUCACUGUAACCUCCGCCUCCCCGGUUCAAGCCAUUCUCCUGCCUCAGUCUCCCGAGUGGCUGGGAUUACAGGUGCGCGCCACCACGCCCUGGCUAAUUUUUGUAUUUUUAGUAGAGACGGGGUUUCGCCAUGUUGGUCAGGCUGGUCUCGAACUCCUGGCCUCAAGUGAUCCUCCCUCCUCGGCCUCCCACAGUGCUGGGAUUACAGGCGUGGGCCACCGCACGCAGCCUGAAGGAUUAAUUUAUGUUUGGAAUCAGCUGCUGUUCUUCCUCCAGCCUCUCUGUAGUGUGCUCACUUCACACUUGGAACCAUAGUUAUAUGGUAUAGAGAAGAGACAACUCUAGGGAAAGUGCCAGUGCCUUGCCUUACCUUACAACUGCCAGACACACCCAGUCAGGUACCUUCUCUGUGGGCUUCUCAGUACCCCGUAUCUCUGUGGUUGCCGGGGGAGCCCUAUCUCUCCUCGGAGCAGUUCUCUCUGCAUACUUCUGGUCUGUCUCUCAUUCUCUAGACCUCAGCUUGGAAGUUGUUUCUCCUUGGAAGCCUUCCCUCAUCUCCUUCUCUUCCUCUUUCCAGCUUCAUAAAGUUUGGGAGGGUAUGGAGAGGAUAAGGAAGGGAACAGCACAGAACGUCCUUGCCCCACGGAACUCAGAGUUUAGUGGGGUUCUCAUGGGGGUUCACAAGGAUUAGAUAAGUUAUUGCCCUAAUAUGGGGCAAACUCUACUAAAAAGGAGAUAGCUUUCUAUGUGUAGAUUUUGAAUGAUGUUCCAGAUUUAAGAGAAUAAAAAGAAAAUAAUAUGAAUUGUAUGUUAGAAAGAAGGACUGUCACAGAAUUGUUCCCAACUGGGAUUACAGGUGCAGGCCACUAGGUCCGGCUAAUUUUUGUAUUUUUAGUAGAGAGGGGCGUUUUGCCAUGUUGGCCAGGCUGGUCUCAAACUCCUGACCUCAAGUGAUCCUCCCACCUGGGACUCCCCAAGUGCUGGGAUUACAGGUGUGAGCCACCACGCCUGACCACCUUUAUUGAUUUUUGAAUGCUAAUCCAACUUCUCCAUGCUAGAAUAAUCUUAACUUGUUCAAGACAUGUAAUCUUUUAAAAAAUGUAUAUUCCUGGAUUCAGUUUGUUACUAUCUCAAGAUUUUUCUCACUACAUUCAUGAAUGAUAAUAGCCUGUAAUUUUCUUUUUUAAAAAAUUUCCUUGUGUUGUUUGUUUUUCCUCAUCGUUCCCUAAUGGUUUGGUAUUAAGGUUAUACAGGCCUCAUAAAAUGAGUUUAACAUUGGGAUUAUUUUCCCUUGCAUGUUUAGUAGAAUUAACUGGUGAAAACAUCUGACCCUUGAGUUUUCUUUCUGGGAAUAUAUAUUAUAGGUUCUAUUUAAAUAAUUGGUAUCAGACUAUUCAGAUCUUAUAUUUUUUUCCUGUACUAGUUUUAGAAACAAGAGUCUUCCUAAGGAAAUAUACCAGAUGAACCUGGAAAAUCUUUUCACCAGAAAGCAAGGAGGCUACUGAAGACUACUUUAGUCAUGUUAAACAAAAAAGGCUUGUGCUGACACCUAUGAAGUAGUCUUACCCAAAUCAAAUCUAAAUAUAGAAUUUGAUAAAGCCCUUAGAUCUAACUAUUAAUUUUUAGGACAUGCAGGGGCAGAGGAAUGUGUUAAAUACUACCAAAGGUGUGCAAUAAUUAAAAUCCAAACUGUGAAACUCUGCAGCACCAGCAACCUAGUUAAUCAUUAAAUAAAUUUCAAGAAAAAAGAGAUAUAGGGAGAACUUAUAUAUUAAAAUACUUAAGAUACAUACCAACUAAUCACAAUGUAUUGACCUUAUUUGAAUACUUUUUUUUUUUUUUUUCUGAGACAGUGUCUCACUCUGUCACCCAGGCUGGAGUGUGGUGGCACAAUCACGGCUCACUGCAGCUUUGACCUCCCAAGCUCGUCUCCCGAGUAGCUGGGACCACAGUCAUGCACCACCAUGCCUGGCUAAUUUUUGAAUUUUUUGUAGAGACAGGGUCUUGCUAUGUUGCCCAGGCUGGUCUUGAACUCCUGAGCCCAAGUGAUCUUCUUGCCUUGGCCUCCCAAAGUACUGGGAUUACAGGUGUGAGCCAUGGUGCCUGGCUUGGUUUUUUUUAAUGUUAAGAAAAAAUGGCAUUAGAGAAAAAUUUGAACAGCGAAUGAAUCUUUGAUGAUGUUGCCAAAUAGAUAAUUUUGUUUAGGUGUGAUAACUGUACUAGUGUUAGUUUACUUAUAUUUUUGGUUUGUUUUUUAGAGAUGGGGUCUUGCAAUAUUGCCCAAGCUAACCUCAAACUUUAGGGCUCAAGGAGUCCUCCCACUUCAGCCUCUUAAGUAGCUGGGACUACAGCAUAGGCCGUCGUGCCCCUGGCUCUAUUAUUAGUUUGUUAGUUAGUUUGUUUGUUUGUUUAUUUAUUUAUUUAUUUAUUUUGAGACUGAGUCUUGCUCUGUCGCCCAGGCUGGAGUGCAGUGGCGCGAUCUCGGCUCACUGCAACCUCUACCUCCCGGGUUCAAGCAAUUCUCCUGCCUCAGCCUCCCGAGUAGCUGGGAUUACAGGCGCCUGCCACCACGCCUGGCUAAUUUUUGUAUUUUUAGUACAGGCGGGGUUUCACCAUGUUGGCCAGGCUGGUCUUGAACUCCUGACCUCAGGCAAUCCAUCCACCUCAGCCUCCCAAAAGUGCUGGAAUUACAGGUGUGAGCCACCGUGCCCGGCCCAUAUUGUUAGUUUUUUUAAACAGUCAUUAUCUCCUAUAGACAAUUAAAUACUUAUGGAUGAAACACAAUUUCUGUCAUUUGCUUGAAAAUAAUCUUAAGCAGAGGGAAUGGGUGGGGAUACAGAUGAAACAAGAUUAACCCUGACGUAAUAAUUGUUGAAGCUGAAUGAUGUGUACAUGGAGUUCAUUUUUCUAUUGCCUUAACUCUUGCAUGGGUUUGAAAUGUUCUAUAAUAAACUUUAUUUUUUAUUUAUUUAUUUUUUUGAGAUGGAGUUUCGCUCUUAUUGCCCAGGCUGGAGUGCAAUGGCACAAUCUCGGCUCACCACAACCUCUGCCUCCCGGGUUCAAGCGAUUCUCCUGCCUCAGACUCUGAGUAGCUGGGAUUACGGGCAAGCGCCACCAUGCCUGGCUAAUUUUUGCAUUUUUAGUAGAGACAGGGUUUCUCCAUAUUGGUCAGGCUGGUCUUGAACUCCUGACCUCAGAUGAUCUGCCCACCUCAGCCUCCCAAAGUGCUGGGAUUACAGGCAGGAGCCACUGCGCCCGGCCAAUACAUUUUUUUUAAUAGAGGAGGACUAUAAAACCUAUGGGAAGCUCUGAUGGCACGACUAUGACUUGCUGAUGUUCACUACAGGUUAUCUGGCUAGGCCACUUGCUGAGAAACUCCUGAUGUAUCUUCAAGUCUAUUCUGGUUGGAUUUCUCACUGAAAACUGCGUCUUUUGUCUGGGAGGUGAAAGCCAGACCCUCAUCUUUCUGGGAGAUAAGGAAAGUAGGCUGGAGGCGUUGACAUUCAGUAUGCUCCUUUUUCAAAUGGAAUUCCUGUCCUCCAUGUGUCUAGCCCACAUAUCCUUUGUUUAACCUUCUUCAGAAAAUAAACCUCCAGUCUUCUUUGGGCUUGAGGACCUAGGACUCUGCUUGCUUCCUAAAUAGCCUCUGACAGACUCUCCUCGUUUUAGUCUAUUCAUUCUCAUUUCCAGGGGUACAUGGUGCCACCAAUUCUUGAGUCGCUUAAAGAUUCUAUGAUGUAAAAUAAAUGUCUUUUUUUUUUUCUUUUCUUUUUUAGAAGGAGUCUCACUCUGUUGCCCAGACUGGAGUGCAGUGGUGCAAUCUCGGCUAACUGCCACUUCCGCCUCCCACUCCCCAGUAGCUGGGACUACAGGCACGCACCACCAAGCCCAGCCAAUUUUUCUAUUUUUAAUAAAGAGACAGGGUUUCACCAUGUUGGCCAGGCUGGUCUCAAAUUGCUGAUCCCAAGUGAUCUGCCCAUCUCAGCCACCCAAAGUGCUGGGAUUACACGUGUCAACCACGGUGCCCGGUCAGAUUUGUCCUUUACUUGCCCCCUUCAGGCUAAAAUUUAGCUUUCUCAAAUUCAAUGUCAUUAUUACUUAUCCUUUUUUCAGUUUCCAAAAUUUUGUAGUUGCCUCUUCUGCCAUUCUUCCUGAUUAUGAAUGGUUUUACUGUAGCAUUAGUGUAGUUCUGAGGGGGAGCAAUACCAAAUACACGUAGUCAAGCUACAAUCCUUACCAAGAAGUAUCUUAUCAUCUUUCUUAAACUUAAAUGAAAUUGGCAUUCUCCAUUUCUUUUGUGAAGGUAAAAAUAAUCUCAUAUCAGUGUUCUGGUAAAAAUUUUGUGUUUGCACGUGGAAUGUAAUUCGAUUUAAAAAGUGAGUUUUACCUGGUGAUUUUUGUAUGUAAAUUAUAACUUAGACUAACUCUUGUUUGGUAACUCUUCAGAAUUAGAACUACAGAUAUCUUAGGGUUUCAAGCAACAUGUUUUGUCAUUCAACUAUGCACCUGACCUUCGAAUUCCUUCAGUAUUAUUCUUACCAAACUUAUUACCUUAUGGCAG
rnacentral:tRNA from 10 species